AGGUUGGCUCCGCUGGCCUUCGCUCUGAUAGGAGAAACUGGCUCCCAGACAGAGGGGGACCUUGAGUUACUGCGGACUGCCGAGGCACGGAGCAGUCUGGCUGUAAUGGGGGGCCUGGCCCCGGGCCAACAACCGUCAGAAUUAGCUAAUUGUUAUACAAUAUAGCUAGGUAGCUAGUUAAAGACGGUGGCAGUUUUGUUAAGGCAGUCUUGUAUGGGGUUCUCUCCCCGCAAGUUUGCAUGCCAUUUUAUACCUACGCGAAUGCAACACUGUUGCAGUAAAAUUGGAACUUCAGCAGCGCGAGCUAGCCCAGCCCCUGCUAGCGAACGAGAAUUUGCUAGUGGAACGGGGCUUCAGUCCAGUCCCACACUUGCCCAGCUGCCAAACUAUGCAUGCAGUAGCAAAGCUGAUUUGGCAGAUAAUCAAGGUAUCAGCUUAACCCUCAAACUGAAGUAAACACAGGCUACGAUGAAUCCCCUGAGAGAAGACUGCAAGUCACUGCCAGUCAGACAAAAGGGGAGCAGCAACGAAACAACUCACCCUUCCUUCCUGGGAGAAACACCACACUCUCACCGUAAAGAACAAAUGGAAAAAUGAAUUAUGUAUAUUUUAGUUUCAUAUUUUUUUGUAAACAUGUUUUUUCUUGUUUGUUUUUUUGUAGUAUGUGGGGGGAUAUAGAUGAGAUCAUGAUGACUCUGAAGUUUCAUACCGUCUCUGUCUUAUCUGUGAUUUAUUAACAUGUUCGAUAUACAGUAGCCUGUAAGGGACUCUAAGCCUUGACGAUAUGUUUGUAUUUCGGGAAGGAGAGGAAAAGACACAAAGAAAUUGAAUAACACCGAUACCUGGCCGAUUUGAGCAGAGUCUCCUACAUCUGAGACCUAGCCUGGUUCCUAGAUCUGUUUGUGCUGUCUUCCAUGACAUCGGCAAGAUGGCGCAAACAGAUCUGGAACCAGGCUAGCAGAGACCCAACGUCUGCGUUUUCAAACUCUACAGGUGGCCCCUUUUUUGGGCUGAGUACAGUAACUGACAGGCAGCAGCAUGUCAUCCACUCUUCCACAGAACACAGUUCAAACAGCAGCUGGAUCCUCUAUGCAUGGUUUAACAAUCAUUCAGUUCUAUCUGCUCUGUUCACCUCACACACUCAUCAGCAUUGAUCUCUGCUUAAUUAACACACUAUGUAGUUAGGCCUAGACUUAUCAUUGCCUGUACAAACACACUUAAAAAAAAAUGUAUCUAAUCAAAUGUUUAUUUGUGACAUGCUUCAUGAACUGCAGGUGUAGACUAACAGUGAAAUUCUUUCCGAGUCUUUUUCGAACAAUUCAGAGUUUAACUCUUGAAGGGGAGUGGUUCCACCUCGAAGCAUAACCAUUCAAACAUUGGGUUUGAUAUUUAACCUCUAAUAGUCCUAAUCCUUCAGCUCUUUAGGUGAUUCACACCCUUCAACUCUUUAGGUGAUUCACACCCUUCAACUCUUUAGGUGAUUCACACCCUUCAGCUCUUUAGGUGAUUCACACCCUUCAGCUCUUUAGGUGAUUCACACCCUUCAGCUCUUUAGGUGAUUCACACCCUUCAGCUCUUUAGGUGAUUCACACCCUUCAGCUCUUUAGGUGAUUCACACCCUUUAGCUCUUAAAUUCAUCUCUAUGCUCAUACUCAAAACUCAAAUAUUUACAUGCUCUAAAGUAUUUACUGAGGCUAAGAGUCCCGCCCUUUUUCCAUUUUAGACUACUAAAUGCUUUGUAGUUCAUUUUUUGUUUUUAAAUGUUUCUUAUUUUUUAUGUAGAAUUUUAGAUUUUGAAUGUUUACGUUGCUAGCUAGUAUAAAACCACGUGUAGACACAGUCAUGUACGCUGUGAUGUAUAGAAGUAGAUAUAGUAGAAAUGCAUUGUUUCCUUGUGGUAAGUGAGUGAGAUGCUGCCACGGAACUGAGACACUGAUGAUUGGUGCUAUUUUGGACUUUAAUCUGCUCCUUGGAAAGGUAGCUGAGACGGGUUCUAUUUUUUACUUUCAUGUUCUGAUUUAAGGAAGGGGUUGGUUCUUUGACGUCUGGUUGUUGUAACUUGGUCUGGAUUGGCUUUGUAUUUUCCCUGUCGUUUUCUGUGCGGCUUUCUCAUUGGAUUUAAGGAAAAUAUCAACUUUUUUCAUGGUAAUGUUUUACUAAAGGGGGGGGGGUUUAGGUGAGAAUUUGAGGAUACACCAUGUUGAUCGGAGCAAUCACAAAACUGCAAUCGUUAACACUAGUUACCCUUUAAAACUGAGAUGUGCAAUCAAAGGGAUACAUUGUAUCUGGUAGUACCCAGCACAAGUCACUUUUCAGAGAAUGUCUACAUUUUCUGUUCAUGUUCUGAUUGACAGACAAUCUUGAAACCAAGAGUGCGUUUUUCCCCUAACGUGUUUGUGUUUAACAGAUCUAAGAGAUUUUGCACACUUGUGAGUAAUGAAAUUGUCACAUAUAGACGGCACAGAAUGUUAAUGUCAGAUAUCCGUUCCAAGUUCAGCAUAAGUAAACACUGAAACGUAAAGGUUAUUUUUUAGAAAAUGGCACUUGAGAGAACUUGAUAGUUAAAUUAUAAAAUGAAUGAACACACUUUAAUGUGUGUUAAGGCCCAGCCUGUUAGGGUUUGGGUUCAGGGUUUCAACUUUUCUUCACCAGCUUGAUAUGACUUAAUGCUAUAGUGAGUCAUGUGUGAUUUAUAUAAUGUUAACGUGAGACUGAAAUCGCAUGAUGCAUAUGAUCUUGUUUUGGAAAACCAUUUUCCAAACAGGGCGCACAUGUUUCAUAAAGUGAUCUCAGUUUAAAAAUAUAUAUAUAUUUUUUUCAUUGUCUUUGAAUUAUUUAGUAAAUUAAUUGUUGACUGAGAACCUUUUUAUUAAACAAACUAAAACCCAAAAGCUUUUUAAUUUUAGCAAAACAUUUUUUUUAGACAACUAGGGUUAUGGGCCUUGCUCAAGGGCACAUUGACAGAUUUUUCACCUAGUUGGCUCGGGGAAUCAAACCAGCAACCUUUCAGUUACUGGUCCAAUGCUCUUAACCACUAGGCUACCUGCCACCCUAGCUAGAGAUUUAAAACAUCGAAGUUAUGUCAGUAUUUGCAGUUUUGUCUUUGCUUCCCUUUUUUUAUAUUGUUAAAUAUUCUAAUAUGAUAAUAACCAACUUGAAAGCCCACGUUAGUUUUCUUUUGGUCUUCCAUUCUCCCUCGAUAUUGGGACCUAUUGAACCAGCAUGUUCUGGUCUUACUAAUUGCUCUCUUUUUGUCAUUGUGGUUUUUUUUUUGUAAAAAAAAAAUUAUAUAUAUAUCCUCUUGCAUUUCUUUCCUCAGACUACUUAAUAUGAAUGCUGUUUUGUACAUAGCAAAGUGAAUAGCGUAGGCAGGAUGUGUUGAGUGAGGUAUUCAGUAUUUACCACUAAGGUUGAAAAAUAUACACUAUGCCAGCUUUGCAAAAUUAUUAUAACGAUGCACUUAACUUACUGUAUCCCAUGUACUUUCCUUUGGCAAUUUUAGAAGUAGUGCAAUAAAUAUGCAAGCUUGUCAUUUGGUGUUAUUUAAA